UGGAUAGGGGUUCUGAGAGGAAGGUCCCCCACAUUGGAACUGAGACACGGUCCAAACUCUACGGGAGGCAGCAGUGAGGAAUAUUGGUCAAUGGACGAGAGUCUGAACCAGCCAAGUAGCGUGAAGGAUGAAGGUUUAUGGAUUGUAAACUUCUUUUAUACGGGAAUAACGAAUCCACGCGUGGAUUUUUGCAUGUACCGUAUGAAUAAGGAUCGGCUAACUCCGUGCCAGCAGCCGCGGUAAUACGGAGGAUCCGAGCGUUAUCCGGAUUUAUUGGGUUUAAAGGGAGCGUAGAUGGGUUGUUAAGUCAGUUGUGAAAGUUUGCGGCUCAACCGUAAAAUUGCAAUUGAUACUGGCAGUCUUGAGUACAGUUGAGGUAGGCGGAAUUCGUGGUGUAGCGGUGAAAUGC
rnacentral:rRNA from 1 species